AUUGAACGCUGGCGGCAUGCUUUACACAUGCAAGUCGGACGAGUGGCGAACGGGUGAGUAACGUAUCGGAACGUACCGAGUAAUGGGGGAUAACUAAUCGAAAGAGUAGCUAAUACCGCAUAUUAUUCGAGCGGCCGAUAUCGGAUUAGCUGGUUGGUGGGGUAAAGGCCUACCAAGGCGACGAUCAGUAGCGGGUCUGAGAGGAUGACCAGCCACACUGGGACUGAGACACGGUCCAGACUCCUACGGGAGGCAGCAGUGGGGAAUUUUGGACAAUGGGCGCAAGCCUGAUCCAGCCAUGCCGCGUGUCUGAAGAAGGCCUUCGGGUUGUAAAGGACUUUUGUCAGGGAAGCGGUACCUGAAGAAUAAGCACCGGCUAACUCCGUGCCAGCAGCCGCGGUAAUAC
rnacentral:rRNA from 1 species